CAGCAGCCGCGGUAACACGUAGGUGGCAAGCGUUGUCCGGAAUUAUUGGGCGUAAAGGGCUCGCAGGCGGUUUCUUAAGUCUGAUGUGAAAGCCCCCGGCUCAACCGGGGAGGGUCAUUGGAAACUGGGAAACUUGAGUGCAGAAGAGGAGAGUGGAAUUCCACGUGUAGCGGUGAAAUGCGUAGAGAUGUGGAGGAACACCAGUGGCGAAGGCGACUCUCUGGUCUGUAACUGACGCUGAGGAGCGAAAGCGUGGGGAGCGAACAGGAUUAGAUACCCCAGUAGUCCCUGUCUCUUAUAC
rnacentral:rRNA from 1 species